GACGAACGCUGGCGGCGUGCCUAACACAUGCAAGUCGAACGGAAAGGCCCGGCUUUGGGGGGGUGCUCGAGGUGCGAACGGGUGAGCAACACGUGAGUAACCUGUCCCUGACCGUGGGAGAACUUCAUGAAACUUGGGGUAAUAGCGGCUAGGAUCUCCUGCUGCAGGGUGGGCGCUGGAUAGUUUCGGUGGUUGGGGAUGUACUGGCGUCUUAUCAGCUUGUUGGUGGGGUAGUGGCUUACCAAGGCUUUGACGGGUAGCAGUCCUGAGAGGGUGACAGGACACACUGGGCCUGAGAUAAGGCCCAGACUCGUCUGGGACGCAGAGGUGGAGAGGAUUACACUGUGGGCGGGAGCAUGGUGUGGUAACGCCGCGUGCGGGAUGACGGGCUUCGGGUUGUAUACCGAUUUCGCCUGUGCCGGGGCGUGAGUGACGGUAACGGGUAAAUAAGCACCGGCUAACUCCGUG
rnacentral:rRNA from 1 species